UGCUUUUCACUGGCCCCAGGCUUCAUGUCCACCUGAGGAGCCCAGGACUCCCUCUCAGACCUGCCCAACGUGCCAAGAUGUCCUGGGACCCAGCAAGACCAGGGCAGACAGACCCCGGUCUUUCAGAGAGUACUUUCGCUUCCAGACCAUCUGCCCCCAGAAAGCUUUGAGAAUCCCUGAGAGCCACUGCUCCAAAAGGAUGAUUAUUCAUCGGAAGCGGGGAGACUUGGGAUCUAGACGUGGUUCUCCACCAGCCCACCAUUGACAACCCUCCGCACCUGCUGGGCCUCAGUUUCCCACUUCUGUUUGGAGAACAGCAGUGCCUACCUCAUCCUACCUCGUGGGUUGGUACCAGGCUCGAGGGGGUGGAAGAGUUGUGAAAUGCCAAGUCAACCCGUUCUAGCUGAUUCUUACGUGUCCGCUCUGUGCUGGGCUCCAGAAGUACAGACACAAAGGAGAGAAUCCCUGUGCCUUUGUCCUUGAGAAAGUCACUUCACAUCCCUGACCCUCACUUUGCCUAGGUGAACGUUUUCUCUGCCUGCCUCAGAGGGUCGUGAGGCUUACACAGGACAGUGCUCUGCACAUGACAAAGGGCUGUGGCACAUGUGAUUAAUUAGCAGAACCCUCUUAAACAAUCUCCAACUAACCACCUUGCCAGAUUACCGGAGGCUCUCCGUGCCCCUCAGCAAGCACGGCGCCUGUGCCCAGGACACACCAAACCCUUGAAGCUAGCAGGGCCUUCCCACCUCUCCAGCCCCUUCUUCCACAAGAGCAACCCUUGACCCCCUUUCUGGCAAGAUUUCUGGCAAGAUUCUACCUGACCCCUGCUUCAAGUAUAUAGGGACAGAGGAAGGAAGACAACAGGAUCUCUGAAAGACAUCCUCACCAAAUACAGCAUUCUCUCUUUGACUUCUUUCCCUCUGAGUUUAUCAGUUGAUUAAGAAACUCACUGGAUACCAACCGUGUACUAGGUGUAGGAAGGGGGAUCCCUAACCAUGAGACACUCACUGUCCGGUUUGGAAGAUAACACGUGUGAAAUAGCGCUGCAAUGAUGCCGCUGAUGGUGACGAGGCUGGAGACGAUGGGGAGAAUGAAGAUGAUGGUGGCGCUGCUCAUCCUGAACCACGUACAGUCACAAAGCAUGUUUAUGACCAUGAUCUUAUUUCACAUUCAAAACUAUCCAAAAGAAACCCAAUUUCAGGGAUGAACAAACUGAAGUAACAACUGCUCUGAGAUCAGGGCUCCAGCUGGUCUGUCUGAGGGCAGGCGGCUGGUCAGGGUUGACUCUAUUCCAGCAGGAACAGGUGUGCAUUUCUCCCCGUGACAGCAUGGAAUCAGUCAUCCUCACACCCGAGGUCAAACAUUUGUCGCCUCUCCAUGGUGGCGGCAGUCAGCCUGCCUUAUUUUUCCAUGUCGGAAGAAUCCAAUUUUAGCAGGACCUUUCUUGGGUUACAUGUCACAGAGCUCUCUGACAUCAGGUCGUAUUUACGGGCUCGGUGCCAGGACUGUCCCCCAGCACGCCCCACCUUGGCUGGCCUUAUUUCCCAUCAGUUUCUUUUGAAAACAUGGAAGUAAAACCCCCGAGUCUCAGUUGAGUGUAAUACGCGUGAAUGGUGGCAACAGAGGUCUGUGCCCCGGGCCCACCCUACAGUGGCAUACGGCGCUGUCUGGAAGGUACUAUGCUGAUGAAAGAGACACCAAACCAACCAGCUAAGGUCAUAUCACCCAACUCGAUAACUGUCUUUCCACGCUUCCUGAUGUGUGCCACACUCUAUAUUGGAACAAAUAACACUAAAUAAAAUAGAAUUCGGUGCAUCAAGAUUUGGUUUAGGCAAUACGUUCUGGAAUGCAUGGUGUGGUAUGUGAGGCAAGAUAUCAUUGCUGUAAUCAGGGGAUACUUCCUCGGGGAGGUGGCCUUUGGGUAGGUUUUGAAGGAUGGUUAGAAGUAGCUAUGCAAAGUGCAGGAGUUCACCUGCUGUAACUAACGGCCAACGUAACAAUGGCAGUUUAUUUCUCCCUCAUGUAACAGUAAUAACUUAAGCAGUCCGGGGCUAAUAUGGCAGUUUCAUGGUUUUGAAGACCCAGGAUCCAUCUGUCUUAUUGCUCUGCCAUUUUCUAUCAGCAACUUUUAUCAUAUGGUCCCCAAUAUGUGCUAUAGCACCUGCCAUCAUAUCAUGAGUUCAGUCUACAGAAAGAGAAAAAGUAGAAGUUGAGGAAAUGCCAUCUCCAUUAAGGACAGACAUGACCUAGAACUUGUACACACCACUUUCCUCAUAUCUCAUUGGUAGAGCUUUAUCCAUGGCCACACCUAUCUCCAGCCAGGGGAAUGGAGUCUUUAGUUCUAUUCCCAAAGGCCAUGGGAGAAUGGAUCCCUGAGGGAAACCAGCAGUCUUUGCCACAAAGGAAGAGCCGAACCCAGGCAGCAGGAGAUUGGCAUGAACUUGGCCUGGGAGUGAGGGGAUGAGUCUGUGAGGAGGAACAUUUCCCCAGACGUGGAAUAGUGGAACACUGGACCCUCACACUGAUCUUUGAGAAAAAAAUCUGUACUCCGAUAAGUCUGGAAAAUGAUGCCCAUUUUAUCUCUCUCUACUUGGAGAUCGACCAAGCACAGCAGCAUAAUGAUGGUUCUGAUAAGCCCUGCAGAAUAGAAUCCGAUAGGCUUUUAAAUCAUUAUUGUUUCCCAAACUUUCAGGAUCAGAAAACAAUCUGCGCAUCUGGCCCGCCAGGCCACUCCUCACAUUCCUCUCUGAUAGGGUUCCUCCAACUGGAAAGAGGAGGACGGUUAAUCGCCAGGGGACCCCAGGUAAGGUCGUGGAUUAUCUAAGUUGCUUAACAUUUCUGUUGAGGUUUUAGAGAAACAAUAAACAACACCCCUUAUCUUGCCCCACUUGAGUUCAGGACACAUUGAGAGGUGGCUGCAGGGUCACUCAGAGGGAGAUCAAAAUGUCAGCUUUAUUCUGGUAAGUGUUACAUAUGUGUACAAGGCUCAGGCUCGUGGGCAGAGGGGUUGCUCACAUCCCGCCUGAAUCAGCCAGACUUUCCCACCCAAGCACAGACACAGCGAGCUGACUGCAGGCCCCAUUCUCAGUAGUAGGACUGAGGGUGCCCUCGGUACAGGCAGGCAGACCCCCAAGAGGGAGAGCCCAGAAGGGCAGAGCCAUGGGGCUCAGUUCCUUCCCAAACUCACCACUCAGGUAAGUCACCCACCCCUCCCAACACACUCCACACCUCGGUUUCCUUACUUGUCAAGUGGAAUAAAUGAAACCCAUACUAUCUCCCUCCACGGUUGCUAUGGGGAUGCCACAAAGGUUGAUGGGGAAAUGUCUUGAAACAAUUUAAACCCAAAAUUAUCUUAUUGGGGUAUCUGUUCUCAUAUUUUUCUCAUUGGGUUGAUGUUUACGUUAAAUAUUCAAUGACUCAUUCAUUCAUUCAAAGAGUACAUAAGUUAGGUGUAAGCUGGGAGCUGGAGAAUACAGCACAGAUUUUCUGCUCAAGGAGAAAGAACAAGCUGGGCUCACCUGGCCCAAGCCCUCAUCUGUGGCUGAGGAAGCAGAGCUUAGAACCAUCAAGGGCCUCAUCCAAGAGCUGGGGCAGCUAGGCCACUUGAGCCCCCAGGCUCUCCCAACACGCCACAUCCCUCCCCACCUCUGUGCCUGCCUGACACCUUGAAUGUCCUCUCCUCUCGACUCCACUUACACAAAUUCUAUCAAUUCUUUGAGAUAGCUCCAGACCCAUUCUGUCUGCUAUACCAUUGUUUAUUUUAGCCAUCCCUAUCUUGGCGCUCACCAGACCCUUCUUAUCUUCAAUGCUCAUCUUAGCCCUUGACUUUCUUCUCUGGUUUUACGAGGCUACGUGUCAUCUCCUCCCUUAACUGCCCCAUGCCCCGGUCUCAGGCACAGGACUGGACACGUAGGAGGGGUCAGGGAGGGCUUGGCGACUGACGGCCUGCUGACAGAUUUAGCCAGCCGGGAAAGGUGACAGUGUGGACAUGAUCUCAUUUUCCCCUUUUGUUGACAUGUUCCUAAUUCGGCUUUAUGAGAUUUUUCUGGAGUGUCAGCUGUGCUGUUUUGAGCUGGGCUGUGAAGGGCAGAAUGUCCAGAGGUAGGGGAUGGCAUGUGGGAAGGGCUUGGCCGAGGGCAAGGGUGUCUGCAGCCUUUCCCAGCCUUCAGAGGGUCUCGGAAUGUUCUGGCCCACUUUGGAGUCUUAAAGGGACACGUUGAGAAAAAAAAAAUACUUAGAGAGAUUUGGGAAUGUGGACCACAGGGAAAACAUAAUAGAAGGCCCAGGGUAAGGUGCCCUGCCCCGGGCAAAUCACUGAAGACUGCGAAGUUGGGGCUGUGAGCGGAAUGCCAUCCCAUGAUCAGUGCUGACGGGAUGGGCGACCCGGAGGCGGGAUUCCCCAGAGAUGACUCAGCCGUGCUGGACCUUGGUCUGCGUGUGGUCUCUGAUGGCCGCUCUGUGACUCAGUUUCCUCAUCUAUUAAAAGCGGAUGGAGUUGGACUCCAUCUCCGGUUACAAGCUAGUCUCGGGUGUUUCAUUUUUAAACUUGAAUCGUUUCUCUAUUUAAAAGUUGGAAUAUUUCACAUUAAAAGUUGUAUUUUAUAGAUGUCCUUUAUAAAAAGUCAGAACGCCCAGAAGUCCUGGGCCCGCAGGACAGUAGUCUGUGUGGCUGUCACCACCCCUCCCCCUGACGUGUCCUGGCUCUCCUUUUCCCCGACAUGACCUUGUGGCCCCAAUGGCACUCGGGUUUGUCUCCGACCACCGCCCUGACCCCAUGCUUCCUGUCGAUUCUUCCAGUGACAGCAUCGUGUGAUUCUGAGCGGGGAGCGGGAAGGGCAGCGCCUAGGGGACCCGGCUCUGUGUUCUGGCCCUGACCCUGUGCUGACCCAUCGAUUGACCCCGGUGACCCACCUCCCCUCUCUGCCUUCAUUUUCCUCAGCUGUUUAAAGAGGGGGUCGGUCAAAUCCAUCAAUAAGGUCUUUUCAAGUUCUCACAAUCUGUGACUCUCUGAAAAUGCCGAGUACCAGAGGGAAAUGGAACCAUGAUUUAAACCUUGUGGAAUUUGGCUGCCCUGUUC